rnacentral:rRNA from 1 species
GUGAGGAAUUUUCCGCAAUGGGCGAAAGCCUGACGGAGCAAUGCCGCGUGAAGGAUGAAGGCCUAUGGGUUGUAAACUUCUUUUCUUAGAGAAGAAUAUUGACGGUAUCUGAGGAAUAAGCACCGGCUAACUACGUGCCAGCAGCCGCGGUAAUACGUAGGGUGCAAGCGUUAAUCGGAAUUACUGGGCGUAAAGCGUGCGCAGGCGGCUUUGUAAGACGGAUGUGAAAGCCCCGGGCUCAACCUGGGAAGUGCAUUCGUGACUGCAAGGCUAGAGUGUGUCAGAGGGAGGUGGAAUUCCGCGUGUAGCAGUGAAAUGCGUAGAGAUGCGGAGGAACACCGAUGGCGAAGGCAGCCUCCUGGGAUAACACUGACGCUCAGGCACGAAAGCGUGGGGAGCAAACAGGAUUAGAAACCCCAGUAGUCC